rnacentral:lncRNA from 1 species
UACAUGGUCCAACUGUGCCAGGGGCGUAGAAUGGGCCUCACUGGUCUUUCUCUUACAUAACAUAACAUAACAUGGACCAACUGUGCCAGGGGCGUAGAAUGGGCCUCACUGGUCUUUCUCUUACAUGGUGCCAGGGGCGUAGAAUGGGCCUCACUGGUCUUCCGUACCGUAUCAUCAUCAUCAUAACAUAUGGGGACCAAAGGAUCAUUCAACAUUCAUCCACAUCAUCAACAUAAUAUGCAAUGCAACAUAUUCGUGAGUCUAAUGCAAACAUCCUAUUAUAUCUCAUGGCAUUCAUGAUGCGUGAAUCAUGC